CAUAAGAUAACGAAAUGCACAACAGUAAAUAGAAAUGCUAGGUUAAGGUCUUAGAUAAGAUUGUGGGCAUCAAGUCUUACAACUUAACAAAAUUUAAUACAUUGAAACUAAAACAUGAAACAACAUUGAUUCCAUCUUAAGCCUAACAACCACAACUCUGCAACCAUGGACAAAGAAAAGAUGACACACCAUUUAAUCUCCCUUCUUCCUAAAGGAGCAUCCUUCUGUUAGCCUUGCACGGCCACCUGUAGGCUGGCACAAGACGGUCUGACAGUUACCGCACACCACAACAGUUUGAGAGUGGCUAAAGACAGUGGUUCUGCAUCCAAGAAGAAAAAAAAAUAUAAGCAAAAUAGGAAUUGAAAACAAUAUAAUAUGUAUUCUACUAUUACAUAUAAUACAGAUGAUGAUUAUUUUAAAUUCAACAAAUACACAGCUAAUAUUUGAUAAUAUACCAGACACAUUAUAAAAAAUACAAACAAUCUAUUUGAGCACUAUUAUAGUUAUAAAUUGAAAUUAAAAGAAAUAAACUAAAAGAGCAUAUCCAACUUACAUAUUGAAACAACCUUGGCAUUUUACAUCCUGCAAUAAAAGAGAUAAAAACAAGUUAAAAAAAAUAAUCACUGCAAAUAAAUUACUCAUUCAAACGGAAAAACAAUAAUAAUUAAUAAUGAGAAACAAGAAAUCACAAAAAAUAAUACCAUGAAAAAAGAGUUUGGUGACUGAACAAGUCUUUUGAGCUUGUGCUUUCUCUUCUCAAGCUCAGCUGGUGGGUUUAACAAAUCAAUAUCAUUUUGAAGAACCUGUACAAACACCAAAUAGAUUAUUAAUAAAUCAUGAUUCAACAAAUCAAAUUAACACUCACAAAACAAAUUAGAACCGAUUCAAAACAAAAGUCAUCGUUAAUUAACAAACUAAUUCCAAUCUGUUAACAAAACAAAAUAUGAACAUAAAAUUUGGCAAAAAAAAUAAAAUAAAAAUCAACAACAUAAAUGAUAUUUUUGCAAAAACAAAUUCAGAUCUGAAAAAGAGGAACAGGGCACUGACCAUGUUAGCGGAAAACAGAGGAGACAAC
rnacentral:lncRNA from 1 species